UUCAUUUUUCAGAAAAAAUAUUUCAUACUUCAAAACAUUUGCUUUAUAUCCACACUGUAGUGCUGAAUAUUAAAAGAAAUGCCACCUUGUGUGCUUAUCUUCACUUAAAUUCCUCGUUAGGCCUCACUUGCCCUGGACUGUUUUCUCCCUUGAAAAAUAGUGUAACACGCUAAUUAGUACUUGAACUGUCUUUCUGAAAAGAAUGCAUGCAUCCUAUAGGAUAGCAUCUAUCUCUUAGUCUCGGCUUAUAGGAUUUCUCUUUAAAUCCUAACUCGGCUUUACUGCUCUGCAGUACUUAAUCAUUUUCUUUACUUCCUUUGGGGAAAUUCUAUUUUCUCAAUAAAUAUGGAUUCUUAAAAUCCCUCCCUAAAUUCCUUCUUCUUCGGAUUUUUCUCAAGGCCGCCCAUGGCGUCGCAGGGCGACGCGGUCGACUUUCGCAUCUCCGCUUUAAUAUUUUCCGUCUUCGGAAACUUAGUAAUUUAUUCGGGAAUUAAUGAUUUAAGCUCCAAGCUUAAUUCCUUAAAUUAAUUCCACUCCACAAUAUUAAUUUCCCCAAGUCCACUAAUUUAAUGAAGUAGCCCACUCCAAUAAAUCUCUUGGCCCAAACUAAAUUAGAACUACACAAAUUUAUUCAAAUUUGGCCCAGCUACCAAUUAAUCGGCCCAACUUAUUAAUUACUGGCCCAAUUCCUCAAUGUAAUUAAAGUGGCUCACUUUCAAUAAUUUAAAAUGGGACUAAUUUAUACUCCUUCCGUCGGCUUCCUUUCUCAACUUUUCUUUCCUUCUCUCUUUUUUUUUUUUCUAAAAUCCAAAUUAAGAAUAACAGAAGGCAGCGCCUUCUUCUUCUUCACGCCCCCAUUUCCGUUUCCUCCCCUUUUCCGGCGGUUCUCGCCCCCAAAUUGGACUUCUCCUCAAAAUCCCCAAAUUUUCCAAAUCCCUAAAUUUUCCAAAUCCCUAAAUUGAGGAAUUACAGCAGCGGCACUCUCCUCCGUCGUGGUUCCCGCCGAAAUCGCCGCUCCACGGCGUUGUCGCCGGCUCCGCCUCCUCUGCAGUUCCUCCCCACAGCGAGCUCUCCCUUUGCAACGAUGUGAACGCCGCCGGCGGGCAGCGCUGCUGCGCGCGCCGUCUCCGGCUCUCUCGCCCCCUUCCUCGACGGUCCAUCAGUGCAGAGGAGGCGUCGCCUCCUUCUUUCUUCCCCUAUUCCCCUUUCACCAUUUCGUGAUUUAUUCCGAGCUCUAGUUAUGGCAGCAUUGAUUCAUUGUUGAGUUUUGCCUAAGUUUUCUUUCUCAAGUGGUGAUCUUGUUGGGGAGAGUUUGCUCUAAGUUCGAUUACCACUGGAUGUUUAUUGCUACUAGAAUACUUGUGGUGCUAAUUUCCUCUACUGAUUAUUGAGGCAGAUUCUAAGUCCCCUUGAGUUCUUGUCCUUGGUUACCUACUGUGAUUGUUCUACAUGAUGCAAGAGUGGUGAUGGGGUUGAGGGAAUUACCUUGCUCGGUGCACCCUCUCGGUCUGCCCUCCUCACUGCCGCUGCUCCUCACCGCCGCCCCUUACUCCGCUGCACUCCCUUGCCUUGCGAGAAUUUUGCAGGAAAAGAGUGUGGAGUGGGGAGGGGAGUGACGGUGGUAUUUAUAGGCAAAUUUCCUCAUCCUUGGUGGCAGGUUUUGGGGAGUGUAACUUGCUACUUUGAACUACAUGUUUCUCCUUCUUUUGAGUUUGUUGUUUAGGCUUCCCUGCCUACUUUGGUGAAAUUCUUGUGAAUGACAAAAGGGCUGAUUCCCAGCUCUAAUUUGGGCAUGUACAGUGGCUCAUUCCACUAUGAUCCCUUGUUUGACUCCUUCUUUGGAGUAACUGGAAUGCGUGAUGAAAUGUGGCUGCCUCCCUAGCCAAGAGGGUACUAAGGCUGCACAUUUGGAGCUUGGAGGAGCUGGAUUUUCGAGAGAGAGAAGGAGAAGAGAAAGGAGAAUCUCAUUCAACACCUACUUGCCUUAUUGCUAGGUUUAGCCACUUUGUUAGAGUACUAGGUUCAAAAUAGCUCUUGACCAAGCUCUAGUUAGUCACUAGUUGGUGUUGUCCCUCUCAAGAUGUAGUGUAGGAUAGUUUGUAGUUUGACCUCAUUGCGCGGAAAACGAGGCAUGUAAUAUUUGUAUUUGAUUUUCUCCAAUAAUUUCCAAUAGUCAUUUAUUUCAACAUUGCUAUUGAAAUAAGAAUCUUUGCUGCACUUAAAUUUUCCUUCUCAACAAAUACUUAAUUUGAUCCGACGUCGGGAAUUACAACGAAAAAUUUCACGCCCUCAAAGUGAGAAUUAAUCGAGCUCAUAAUCCGACUUGAUCAUAAAUAAGGGGAUUAAAAAUCCGGGGCGUCACAUUCCACCCUCCUUAAACGAAAUUUCGUCCCGAAAUUUGUACGGCUUUACUCAAACAGCUCCGGGGCGUCACAGACGUAUACUCUUUUGAGCUCUGCCCCUAGGGUAUACUCUCACUCAAGCUACACCACUAGUUACACAUGGUGCUAGUUGUGAAUUUACCAAGUGGCUAACCUCGGGCUAAUCACCAAGCAAUCAUAGUCCGACCAUGGAUUUUUCCAAACAUUCAUCUCACCCAACAUGGGGAGGGAUUCUCUCAAGAAGACACUCUUUAUAUAAACCCAAUCUAUCUAUUACAAAUGAUAUAAAAGACACUAUUUAUGAACGUGGAUGGUGGGAGAUGAAAGGUCACUCAAGCUAGGGUUGGAAUAUGAAAAGGCGCUCAGAAUAAUUCAAAAUCUUGCUUUUUUUAGUCUUCCAGGACACAAAAAGCCCGGUUGGGCGUUUUCAUGCAUCAAAACGUCGGCCCACGCAAACUCUCUAGAGUCUUCGUUACUUGACUGCGCAACUUUCGUAGAAUGACCAUAACUUCCUUACCAGGGCUCCAAUUGAGGCGCGCAAGGUACUGACACGGAACUCUUUCGACGAUGAAGACAAUGGUCAUCUUAGAAGAUUAUUUGCACUUCAACUUAAUAGGUAGACUGAUGUUUGAAACAGUCUAGUUUGGCUCAUUGCAUGCCCUCACUUCUCUUUCUCUCACUUUGGCGCUUCCCAGAGCACUUCGUCCUCUCCUUUUUGAAAGGAUUUGUCCUAAAAUUUGGUUCUUUGAUUCUUCUUUUGGCCAUUGCAAAAAGUACAACAAAACAAGAACUUGGCUUUGAUACCAAAUAAUGAGAAUCUCCAAAAUUAGCCUAAGAAUUGUGCUUGUAAAAACAAAAAUGAGGUAGAACACUAAUACUCUGGAUUUUGCUUGAUUUUAAAGAUGUGACUUGCAUAAUUUUGACCACAUUUUGCCAAGAAAAAUCAUGAUUAUGCUUUAAUCUCUAUUAUGUUAGUAUUUUUUUACCAGUUCGUGAAUGAUGUACAUGUAAAGAGUUUAAUAUUUGGUAAAAAGGGGCGAAAGGCGGAGCUCGGGAUCAAACCUAGUGAAUCGCUAGGAAGCCGCUAUACUCCAUAGCAACUCGCUGGAAAUGUAGCUGCAUGCAAUCCAGUCCUAAGAAAGAGAUGUAAAAAAAAGUAGGAGGGAGAGAGAGGGAAAAGGUAGUGAAAUGAGUGUUCGUGAACUGUGGGUUUAUAUUAUAAAUGAUGUAUAAGAUUAUUAUCUAUUGAAAACUUUAUAUAUUUAGACUUGGUCUAAUUAGGGGACGACUCAAAAUGAUAAAAGUAGUCCAUUUUUGGGAACGGAGGGAGUAGUAUAUAGCAUCUUUCGAAUGUUUGUAUAUUUAAAAACUCUUUAUCCAUUUUUACCAUUUCAAAGAGAAGGAAUAUUUUGUUAGUGUAUUUUAUUUAUGCAUUUAUAAGAUGUUUGAUUUACAUUUAAACACAUAAGUAACAAACAAGUUUAAGUCUGAUGCAUAGUAGACUAGUUGUAAGUGGCAUGUAUAGGUAACUUAGUCAAUUCUUGCAGAAGAAAAAUGAACUUCACAAGGUAUUAGCUACCAAUCGUGAAAGGUUGGGACGCCAGUCCAAAAAUUUCCUUAUUCGAACUAUUUUCUUAUUAUGUUUUAGAUUUUAGAAUACUACGGAGUAUUAAUUUAAGUGAUUAAACAAUUAAUUAUCAGAUAAAUCACUUACAAAGCUAACUGUUUACCCUUCAAACUGAAAAGACAAUUCACCAAUUUAACUCUCAGUAUAAAUCAAUUUUAGGUAGGUUAAAUCAACUAUGAUAUAUGCAAAACUCAAUCUUAUGGCAGAAUCAAAGAACCACACUUGACGGUCAUUUUAGAGAGUACAAUGAUCAAAUCUUAGUUUGUUUUUAGGUCAUUAUAGUAAGCAUGACCUAAAAUGAUCUAAAAUGACAUCCGUAUUAUCAAAUCUGGAUUUUAUAAAAUGACCUAAAACAGACUAAAAGUGUUCUACAAUGACCUAAAAUAAACUAACAAUGGAUUCAACAGUUCGCCACUAGAGAUUAGUUCGACAUUGAUUAUAACCCUCUGCAUACAUUAUUAAAUACUUAUUAGAAAAUAGUAGUGAAGAAUAAUCGAGUGCCAAAAAAUAAAGAUGAUUAUAUGAUGAUAGUGAAGAUGCCAUUUUAGGUGUUAAAAAAAUUAGUGAUUGUGAGUCCAAAGUAUAAAUUCCACAUGGCCCAACCCCAACUUAAAAUAGAAGAAAUAAAGCAUUAGAUUUGGAUUCCGUGACACUUUAUUUUUGCAUAUUUUCAAUCUUUUCAUCACCUAUUUAUUUGCUUCGUAUCAUAUUCAUUAUUCAUAUUCAUCAACUAACCAAUAUUGUUACCAUAUUUACUCACAUCCUAUUUUCCGAUGGCGAUAACAGGCGGCGACACCGCUCGGAGCGUGCCUAGCGGCGGCAAGUACCAGAUGACGGUGGAGGAGUUCAAGGGCUGGCUGAUGAAAUUCGACGCGGACCGAGACGGGCGGAUCAGCCAAAAGGAGCUCCGGCAGGCCAUCCGCAACUGCGGUGGCUGGUUCAGCGGCUGGAAAAGCACCCGAGGCCUCGGUGAAGCCGACGUCGACGGCAGCGGCUUUAUUGAUGAGCAAGAGAUCGAUUUGCUCUUGGAUUUUGCCGAGACUAAUAUGGGAUUCAAGUUUUACUAUUGAUUUCACUUCACUAUAUAUCUCUAUGCAUGCUUCAAAAUAAUUUCUCUCUCUCUCUAUAUAUCAUUAUACUCGGAUUAGUAAUUAGUUGUUUGUGUGCUGUGUUUUAAUUUUAUAAAUAAAUUUGGUUAGUUUGUGGUUGAAGAGUUGUCAAUUGUCAUGCCAAAUUUAUGCUAAUUUUAUAUGAAUACAGAAUUGUCUCUAUUUA